GAGGGACAAAAGUGGAGCUGAAACGCUACCGAGAGGAACGUGUGGGUCCAAUACACGAUCUCGGACCGGACCGAGAUUCAUUCCCCGGACGGACCAUUGCCCAGAGACUCGUUCCAAAGGAGACCGGAGGACGAUACAGACGGACGUCCGCAUCCAGUGACCGGGACAGCAUAGAGACCCGCACUGAUUGGGGGGAGGCGGAGCACGACGGAACCGGGUUACCACAGCUUACACCUGCUUUCCGGGAAUACAAAUGGCCUAUAUUAUGAAAUAAACGCGUAACUUAUAUUUUGAGCUCUAUAUACAGUGUUAAAAAAGGCAACAAUGCUGACGACAAAGCCUCAUCUCUGAAUACUACAUUGUGCUGUCUUGAUGCUGUCAGAUGUCUAUAAUCAUUGAUUCAAGCCCCCCUUGCAAUUAGUAGUAGAUCAUUGCAUUAAAAAUAGUCUUAGUGUGAGUGGGUGUGUUCGU
ensembl:lncRNA